rnacentral:rRNA from 1 species
CAGUAGCCGCGGUAAUACAGAGGGUGCGAGCGUUAAUCGGAUUUACUGGGCGUAAAGCGUGCGUAGGCGGCUUCUUAAGUCGGAUGUGAAAUCCCUGAGCUUAACUUAGGAAUUGCAUUCGAUACUGGGAAGCUAGAGUAUGGGAGAGGAUGGUAGAAUUCCAGGUGUAGCGGUGAAAUGCGUAGAGAUCUGGAGGAAUACCGAUGGCGAAGGCAGCCAUCUGGCCUAAUACUGACGCUGAGGUACGAAAGCAUGGGGAGCAAACAGGAUUAGAGACCCGGGUAGUCCCUGUCUCUUAUAC